rnacentral:rRNA from 1 species
CCGUAGGUGAACCUGCGGAAGGAUCAUUAUUGAACUCUUUGGUGGGUGGACUGUUGCUGGCUUGUCUUUCUAAAAAAGGUUUGCAUGUGCACGUUCUCCACUAAUUUCAUUUAUCCACCUGUGCACCUUUUGUAGGAGGGACCUUUACUCAUUCUAUUGUGAUAACAUUAUGUUGUUUUCAAUAUUGUGAGGCAAAUGGGAGGUCCCUUCUAUGUCUUCACAAAUGAUUCAAAGUAUGUUAAAGAAUGAACACAAUUAUUGGGACUUCAUUGACCCAUUGAACUUAAUACAACUUUCAGCAACGGAUCUCUUGGCUCUCCCAUCGAUGAAGAACGCAGCGAAAUGCGAUAAGUAAUGUGAAUUGCAGAAUUCAGUGAAUCAUCGAAUCUUUGAACGCACCUUGCGCCCUCUGGUAUUCCGGAGGGCAUGCCUGUUUGAGUGUCAUUAAAUUCUCAAUCCUAACCAGUUGUUAAUUGACUGCGUUAGAAUUGGAACUGGAGGUUUGUUGGCUUCUGUUCAACUCCUCUAAAAUAUAUCAGUGGAUUUUAACACCCUGCUUUGUUGAUCCCAACCUGUUUAAGGUGUGAUAAUUAUCUACGCUUUUUAACAGUUGGUUUCACGAGUUACUCUUUUGAUUUGGGUUGUGUUGCAUUGUGCUCAAUCUGUUUCUAUUCAUUAGAGUUUGAUACAAAGGGGAGUCAUCUGCUUUCUAACAGUCCUGUUCAUUGGACAACUCUAUAUUUUUGCUUGACCUCAAAUCAGGU